rnacentral:rRNA from 1 species
AUGAACGCUGGCGGCGUGCCUAACACAUGCAAGUCGAACGAAGCACUCUGAUCGGAGAUUCGUCGAAGAUUGGAUUUGACUUAGUGGCGGACGGGUGAGUAAUGUAUGAGCAACCUGCCUUCAGAGGGGGACAACAGUUGGAAACGACUGCUGAUACCGCAUAAUGUAUUGAGACGGCAUCGUCAUGAUACCAAAGGAGCAAUCCGCUGAAAGAUGGGCUCAUAUCUGAUUAGUUAGUUGGCAGGGUAACGGCCUACCAAGACUGCGAUCAGUAGCCGGACUGAGAGGUUGAACGGCCACAUUGGGACUGAGAUACGGCCCAGACUCCUACGGGAGGCAGCAGUGGGGAAUAUUGGGCAAUGGGCGAAAGCCUGAACCCCAGCAACGCCGCGUGAAGGAAGAAGGUCUUCGGAUUGUAAACUUCUUUUAUGAGGGACGAAGGACGUGACGGUACCUCAUGAAUAAGCCACGGCUAACUACGUGCCAGCAGCCGC